UCCAGACACUUGCCAGGAGGGGAAAGGGAAGGACAAUUUUUUUUUCCAGGUGCGCAAAUUGGGGUUGCACGCCCAACGCCCAGCACCCCUGCUCUUGGGUCCCUUGGCCUCGCGCCGUGAGGGCUGGGGGCGGAUCGCGGGUCUGGACCCUCUGGGGAGUUCUGGGCAUGCGGAGUCCGAGGGGCCCAAAGGGCCGCGGUCUAACACCAAACCCCGCCGGGGUGCUUGCGCGGGGUUCGACCUACUCCCGCGAGUCCUGGGCGAUCGGCGGGGGGCCGGGGUGCGGUCCGACUGGGGAGAGAUGGGAGGCGAGAGCGCGCGCCCGGGAACCUGGGCCUUGGCUCCGGAGCAGCUCAGGGCCGCGCCGCGCAUUCCGCACAUUCCCGCCCGGCCUCGGUUCCGCCGCCACGUGGUUGCUCAGCGCGCCGCGCUUACCGUAGGGCUUGGAGAAGGCGCGCAUCCGCGGCCCCGGAGCGCGUGCAGACCUCCCAGGGUGCGGGGCGCGGAGGCCAGUUCCAGCCACCCUACCCAGCAGCCCUCGCCUCUCUCUCCUCUGCAUAGAUCGCUUUUUUGUUGUUUGUUGUUUUUUUGUGUUUUUAAACGUAACAAGAGUUGUACUGCUGGAGUGAUGACAGACUCACUUGUAAAGGCGGGGCCGGAAGAGUCUCAGGCCCCACUGCUAUUUGUAAUUGGGUGACUGUCCAUCUGAGGAACACGACCGAACCAGACGAGUGAGUGCCUUCCCAGCGGUGACAAAGCUCGUCAGAGGAGCUGCGGCUUCGGAUCGUUUUCUCCUCCUUUUCCGUCUUCAAACUCAUCCUUAAGGGUCUUUUUCUGAGGAUCGGUUCCAGAUAAAGAGUCCAGCACAUCCCUGGAUCCUGAGCAGCAGACCUUGACGGGCAGGAUGCCUGCCUCUGCCUCCUGGGUCCCACUGGAACCCAUAGGACUGGGGCUAGGCUGAGGUCCCUCCCCGCUGCUGGGAGGGGUGAGAGGGCUCCAGAUAGCGCCACCUCUCCCAAUCCCCAGUGGACAGAUGGCUCUCCCCGCAAUCACCAAAGGGGGGAUGGGGGUGGGAGGGAAAGGCUGUCCCCCUCCCCCCCCCCAAAUGUGAGGCAUGCCCAUUUUCGCCUAGGACCUACUGCAAGGUUUGGAGAGCCAUCCUUCACUCAGGUACCUGUCCUCAUUCCUCGCUUCUCCUGCAAGGUACCCCACCCCCAAGCUCAUUGCUAUCGUGCAUUUCACCUUCCAGACAAACCUCAGAAACACACUUGGUGGGUGGGGAAACUGAGGCACCUUAUCCAGCCUCAUGCGGCCGGCAGCGUGUCUGUGCCCUUAGCCUGCACCUCCCUCGGUGUCGUGGGCACCGUCAGAACAAUUUCAGGGGCCUUUGAAGCCGAUAAGGAUAAUAAUCUACCUUUUCAAGAAUUCACGAAAAGCCCAGCCCUUUUUUCAAGGUAUCAGGAAGUUUGCAGCCAUGUUUGCGAAGCGGCCAAGCCUGCCACCCACAUGCAUCUGCCAGGAGCCGUGCGGUCUUGGGGAAACCCCUGUCUUCAGGUGGGGUAUGGCCUCACUCUUCCCAAGGCCACGGAGCAGAGCGAUUAAGAAGGAAGGCCAUGUGAUGCGCGGUGUAUGUGGAAUUGAUUAAACAUCUCCGUUUACAUUCAGAAAGAGGACGUAAAAACGACUCUCUAGUCUGUAAGCUUGCUUUUACUUGCUGAGUUCUCCUGAGCUGGCCGUGGACAGGAGACCUAAAUCCUAGAAUGCAUUUUUAAAUUAAAGAGAAGUCGAGCCGUGUUAAUCUUCCCUCCUUCCUUCUCACCCUGGCAAAGGAGUAGACAAGCUUACUUAAAAAGGA